CACAGGUAGAGGGCUAAGCUCCUGCCCCUUCUCACCCACAGGUAGAGGGCUCAGCUCCUAUCCCCUUCUCACCCACAGGUAGAGGGAUCAGCUCCUGUCCCCUUCUCACCUACAAGUAGAGGACUCAGCUCCUGUCCCAUUCUCACCCACAGGUAGAGGUUUUAAGUCCCGUCCCUUCUCACCCACAGGUAGAGGGUACAGCUCCUGUCCCUUCUUACCCACAGGUAGACGGCUCAGCUCCUGUCCC